UCUGGUGGAAAGAACGCUGGAGUACAAUGCAGGAGUCCUGCGCUUAGUUCCUGGAUCCCAACAGGACUAAACUGCUGUGUGACCUUAGGUGCUGCAUAAGCGUGUCAGAUUAUGAUGAUGAUUCCUGUCAGUCCCACCAGUUAACAGCUGAGCUGCUUUUCCUUUGGCCACUUUUUGCCACAGGAGGUCACUGCGGAGCUAGAGGACGCCAGGAGAUUGUCGUGAAUGUGGCAGGAAUGUCCAGAACAAAACAAUAUGAAGAAACCACACAGGCAUAGUUGGGUCUCAAAGAACCGUGUUUACAGAAUAUACACAAAUCGUGCCAGGCCUUCACACACUGCUGCCCUGAAUGGUGCUGGCAGCUCCUGAAAAAUAAAACACAAACUGCCAGGAAACUGAGGAAUCGGUUGUCUGCACCGGUCUAGAAGCACGUGGAGACUGGAGAGGUUGCUGCAAGGAAGAAUAUCUCUGGCUCAUGGAAAGCUAUCCCUUACAUGCUGCUCUUCUGGGUCCCAUUUGCUUCUUGCAACGUUAAGGCCCUGAUUUACCAAAGGACUUAAGUAUAUGCUUAACCGGAAGCACCAUUGGCUUCAAGGAGACUGAAGCUCAUGCUUAAAAUUAAGCAAAUGCUUAAGUGGUUUGCUGAAUCAGGGCCCAACUUCGACGCACUCGAAGAACCAUAACCGGUGGAGGUUCAAGUACAGCAAACUAAGGCUCUUCCCUGGCACUGCCCCCACACCCGGCUCCACCCUUCAAGUUUGAAUUGAGGGGGUUCAGCAGAGUCAGACAGGAGCAGGGAACAGUCCUGCCUCCCCUUUCACAGAAGCCUCAGCAAGAAUCCACAGGUCCUGGCUCUUGCACCAGUGGACUGGUGCAGAGAUCUCAGCGCUGGCUACAAUGCUGCAUUUGUUUCACAACUGAGACUUUUAAACAUCAAGGAGACAUGAAACUUGGAAAGGAAAUCACCUAAUAAAGACAUCUGAGCUUAAUCAUUCCACUCCUGUCCGAAAUGCACCGUAACU